CUGAACUCUAUAUGGAUCUGGUAAUCUAUAUAUCCAUAUCUGAAAAUCUGCCCACCAGGAAAUCAUAGAGGAAGAGAGAAAGAUGAGCAGCAGCGUGAUGGCAUCGUUGGGUCAGGCAGCAGCGAAGGUUGGCAACGCCGUGAAGGGUCAGGCGCAGCAGCACGGCAAGGAGAAGGCGGGGCAGUACUUCCAGCAGAAGCCUAGGGCUGCUGGAGGCAGCGGAGAGACGAUGCCGGAGUGGAAGCUGAACAGCCUCUGCAACGAAUACGGCCUCCCGGCCAACGUCCGCGGACACCUCCCGAUGGGCGGUUGCUUCUGAAUGCUAAGUUAAAAAUAUGGAUUAUUAGUUUAUGCUUUUCUUUUGUAUAUAUAAGUGUGCUCUUUGAGUGAUAUUUUCUAUGUUGGAACUAGCUAAAACUGGUUAAGUUUAAU
rnacentral:misc_RNA from 1 species